rnacentral:rRNA from 1 species
UACGUAGGAUGCGAGCGUUAAUCGGAAUUACUGGGCGUAAAGCGUGCGUAGACGGCUAUCUAAGUCGGGUGUGAAAGCCCCUGGCUCAACCUGGGAAUUGCAUUCGAGACUGAAUAGCUAGGGUACGGUAGAGGGAAGUGGAAUUUCCGGUGUAGCGGUGAAAUGCGUAGAUAUCGGAAGGAACAUCAGCGGCGAAAGCGACUUCCUGGACCAGUACCGACGUUCAGGCACGAAAGCGUGGGGAGCAAACAGG